rnacentral:rRNA from 1 species
UUCGAUUAACGCGAAGACCCUUACUUGGGUUAGACACGGCGGACCGUCCUAGAAAUAGAUUUUCCCUUCGGGGACCGCCGGUUCAGGUGCUGCAUGGCUGUCGUCAGCUCGUGCCGUGAGGUGUUGGGUUAAGUCCCGCAACGAGCGCAACCCUCGUCCUUAGUUGCCACCAUUCAGUUGGGCACUCUAGGGGGACUGCCGGCGUUAAGCCGGAGGAAGGUGGGGACGACGUCAAGUCAUCAUGGCCCUUAUGUCCAGGGCCACACACGUGCUACAAUGGGCGGUACAAAGGGUCGCAAACCCGCGAGGGGGAGCCAAUCCCAAAAAGCCGCUCUCAGUUCGGAUUGGAGUCUGCAACUCGACUCCAUGAAGUUGGAAUCGCUAGUAAUCGCGGAUCAACACGCCGCGGUGAAUACGUUCCCGGGCCUUGUCACACCGAAUCACUA